CAGAGGGUGCGAGCGUUAAUCGGAAUUACUGGGCGUAAAGCGCGCGUAGGCGGCUUUGCAAGUCGGGUGUGAAAUCCCCAGGCUUAACCUGGGAACUGCAUUCGAGACUGCACUGCUGGAGUAUGGGAGAGGGAAGUGGAAUUUCCGGUGUAGCGGUGAAAUGCGUAGAUAUCGGAAGGAACAUCAGUGGCGAAAGCGACUUCCUGGACCAAUACUGACGCUCAUGUGCGAAAGCGUGGGGAGCAAACAGGAUUAGAUACCCUGGUAGUCCACGCCAUAAACGAUGAGAACUGGAUGUCGGGAGGGUCUGCCUCUCGGUGUCGUAGCUAACGCGUUAAGUUCUCCGCCUGGGGAGUACGGCCGCAAGGUUG
rnacentral:rRNA from 1 species